rnacentral:rRNA from 1 species
GACGAACGCUGGCGGCGUGCCUAAUACAUGCAAGUAGAACGCUGAAGGAGGAGCUUGCUUCUCUGGAUGAGUUGCGAACGGGUGAGUAACGCGUAGGUAACCUGCCUGGUAGCGGGGGAUAACUAUUGGAAACGAUAGCUAAUACCGCAUAAUAGUAGAUGUCGCAUGACAUUUGCUUAAAAGGUGCAAUUGCAUCACUACAAAUGGACCCGUGUUGUAUUAGCUAGUUGGUGGGGUAACGGCACACCAAGGCAACGAUACAUAGCCGACCGGAGAGGGUGAUCGGCCACACUGAGACUGAGACACGGCCCAGACUCCUACGGGAGGCAGCAGUAGGGAAUCUUCGGCAAUGGACGGAAGUCUGACCGAGCAACGCCGCGUGAGUGAAGAAGGUUGUCGGAUCGUAAAGCUCUGUUGUAAGAGAAGAACGAGUGUGAGAGUGGAAAGUUCACACUGUGACGGUAUCUUACCAGAAAGGGACGGCUAACUACGUG